rnacentral:rRNA from 1 species
CAAUAGCGUAUAUUAAAGUUGUUGCGGUUAAAAGCUCGUAGUUGGAUUUCUGUUGAGGACGGCCGGUCUGCACUUUGUGCAUGUAUCUGGUUCGGCCUUGGCAUCCUCUUGGGGAACGUAGCUGCGCUUUAUUGCGUGGGACGGUAUUCAAGACUUUUACUUUGAGGAAAUUAGUAGUGUUCACGGCAGGCUAACGCCUUGAAUAUAUUAGCAUGGAAUAAUAAUAUAGGAUCUUGGGUCUAUUUUGUUGGUUUCUAGAACUAGGAUAAUGAUUAAUAGGGAUAAUUGGGGGCGAUUCGUAUUUCGUUGUCAGAGGUGAAAUUCUUGGAUUUAACGAAGACGAACCAACUGCGAAAGCACUUGCCAAAGAGUGUUUUUCAUUAA